ensembl:misc_RNA
UGGGAUCAAAAGAAGGCACAGUGAAUUCCUCAUAGCAUCUUCUUUGGGGUUAUUUAGGCACCAGAACUCUUCAUAAAACAAAAAAUUCUACCAAGGAAUCCCUUUACCUAAUGGCAUCUCACAAGACUACAGACGUGGGAAAAGGCCUCAUGACACAUCAAGAGAGCACCUA